UACGGAGGGUGCAAGCGUUAUCCGGAUUUACUGGGUUUAAAGGGUGCGUAGGCGGCCUGAUAAGUCAGUGGUGAAAGCUCUCAGCUUAACUGGGAAACUGCCAUUGAAACUGUCAGGCUUGAGUACAAUUGAAGUGGGCGGAAUACAUCAUGUAGCGGUGAAAUGCUUAGAUAUGAUGUAGAACACCGAUUGCGAAGGCAGCUCACUAAAUUGCAACUGACGCUGAGGCACGAAAGCGUGGGUAGCGAACAGG
rnacentral:rRNA from 1 species